rnacentral:snRNA from 1 species
ACGCUUCGGCAGCACAUAUACUAAAAUUGGAACGAUACAGAGAAGAUUAGCAUGGCUCCUGCGCAAGGAUGACAUGCAAAUUCGUGAAGUGUUCCAUAUUCUU